UUGAGAAACAUCAACAAAGCCAUAGGACUAUUCUGAGUAAAUUGACCAAUUCAAAUUCAGGAUCCUGAAACAAUUUGGCUAUAACCUCUAAUUGAUGAAGGACAUCUUAAGAAUUCAUUGUACAAGGCUUCCUCUCCAGUGUUGCUGGAACUGUUAUAAAACCCAUGCAUGGUUGUAUAUUUUAGUUUGAUCAUUUAUACUCAUUGAAUUAUUGUUGUUUGCUUUAUGUUUUAAUUUCUUUGUAAUUUUUCUCUGUGACACAGGUGGAGACGCUGGUGGCGAAGUGGAUCCCACUCAUUUCUUUCUCCCACACACAUUCUUACUCUCUCCCUCUCUCUGUGUGUGUAUGUGCAUGUGUAUGUGUUUGUGUGUCUGUGUGUGUCCAUGUCGUGAUGUCACUGUACCUUUAAUUGCGCUUGCUGUUCGUAACUGUAUGUGUCUGAUGUUGAAGGUAUCAGAGGCUAGGGUCAGUAAGAGCUAGGACAUUUUUGUGCAUAACCUUUAAUCCCUAGGCGAUCGGUUCGGGGAACUUCUGGUCCGGCCGGAGUGUGAAUCUUCCUACCAACUAUCUGCCAAGAUCAAUUGGACUGCACAAGCCGAGAAAGCCUUCAUUGGACCAAAACUACACACACGAGGAGGCUUCGCCUUCGGUGCCAGGCGUCUGGGUCCUGCUAAAAGUCACCAAAAGGAAGUGGACGGAACCAAGGUGGACCGGGCCAUACAGGAUCACGGAGAGGACAUCACACGCUGUCCGGCUGGACGGGAGGAGCCUAACCUGGAAGAGAAGCAGCCGACAUCUGCCUGACCAGAAGAAGUACCCAAGGACCAGGACGAGAAGCAGCUGACAUCUGACCAACCAGAGAAAGGAUCCAAAAACCAGGAAGAGAAGUAGCUGACUGCAGUAGCAUGCCAAGCUGCCACCACAUCCUGCAGGACGAGAAUCGUGACAUCAUCACCCCCUGCAGCUGCCUGGAGCCAGUGAAGGGACCUCAACAGGGGGAAGAAGUAACCACCCUAUGAACAUUCUACAAGGGUUCUAUUUAACACCCUCAUUUAUUUUACAAGGGUAAUAUUUUACACCCUCCACCUGCUGAC